rnacentral:rRNA from 1 species
CGGAGGGUGCAAGCGUUAUCCGGAUUCACUGGGUUUAAAGGGAGCGCAGGCGGAUUGGUAAGUCAGUGGUGAAAGGCUUAAGCUUAACUUGGGAACUGCCAUUGAUACUAUUAGUCUUGAAUGUUGUUGAGGUUUGCGGAAUGGGUCAUGUAGCGGUGAAAUGCAUAGAUAUGACCCGGAACACCUAUUGCGAAGGCAGCAGGCUAAACAAAUAUUGACGCUGAGGCUCGAAAGCGUGGGGAUCAAACAGGAUUAGAUACCCUGGUAGUCCACGCCCUAAACUAUGAUUACUCGACAUAUGCGAUACACUGUAUGUGUCUGAGCGAAAGCAUUAAGUAAUCCACCUGGGAAGUACGACCGCAAGGUUG